AUGAGUUGGAACUAUCGAGGGUUUGGGAACCCAAUGACAGUUCGAGAGCUUCGCAAGAUUGUGAAGCAAGAAGGCCCGGCCCUUCUCUUUGUCGUGGAAACAAAGAUUAGGGGGGGAAGAGUUGAAAGUUUGCAAGAUCAGUUGGGCUUUGCAUGUAGUUUUGCUGUUGAUAGCAAUGGCAUCAAUCGAGGAAUUGCUUUGUUCUGGAGUGAUGAAAUACAUGUGGAACUCAAGAACUAUAGCCAAGCACACAUUGAUGUCACGAUCAGGAGGAAGCACUAUGACCAGCCUCCUUGGCAGUUUAUUAGUUUUUACGGGGAACCAAGAGCAGAGAACGGACACCAUACCUGGGAAUUCCUUCAUAUUUUGUUUGCAAAAAGGCAUGAUGGGUGGCUAUGUAUGGGUUAUUUCAAUGAGAUCUUGUUUGCAGAAGAACAUUUCAGCAUGCACACAAGACCGGCAUGGCAGAUGCACGCUUUCCGUGACACUAUCGACCUUUGCUCUCUUCAAGAUCUAGGUUGGAGAGGAGUUCCGUUUACCUAG
rnacentral:rRNA from 1 species